rnacentral:rRNA from 1 species
UUAUUAAUACCCCCAAAAACACCCAAUAUUAAUUAAACAAACCAUUUUUCCCCCCAAGUAUGGGCGACAGAAAAGGAACAUUUAGAGCUAUAGAAAAAGUACCGCAAGGGAAUGCUGAAAAAGAAGUGAAACAACUCAGUAAAGUUUAAAAAAGCAAAGAUUCACCCUUGUACCUUUUGCAUCAUGAUUUAGUCAGUAAAAACAAGCAAAAGGCACUUUAGUUUGAUUUCCCGAAACUAAGUGAGCUACUCCAAGACAGCCUAAAAUAGGGCCAACCCGUCUCUGUGGCAAAAGAGUGGGAUGAGCUUAGAGUAGAGGUGAUAAGCCUACCGAACUUAGUUAUAGCUGGUUGCCUGAGAAAUGAAUAGAAGUUCAGCUUUUUGGUUUCUCCCCCCAACCUGCUUAGCUAUAACGAACCAAAGAAGCCAAAAAAGUUAAUUAAAGGGGGUACAGCUCCUUUAAACAAGAUACAACUUCACCAGCCGGGUAAAGGUCAUAUACAAUUAAGGUAGAAUGUUCUAGUGGGCCCAAAAGCAGCCACCUAUAAGAAAGCGUCAAAGCUCCUUCAUACCACCCCCCCCCCCCCCCAAUUCAGAUAAUAUAUCCUAAACCCGCUAAUUUUAUCAAGCCGCCCUAUGCUGCCAUAGGAGCGAUUAUGCUAAAAUGAGUAAUAAGAAAAGCCACCUUUUCUCCUUGCACUCGUGUAAAUCGAAACGGACCCCCCAUCGAUCAUUAAUCGGCCCCAAAAAAAAGAGGGUAAUGAACUAUCAACCCCAAUAACAAGAAAAACACCCAAAUAUCAACCGUUAACCUCACACAAGUACGCUCACAAGGAAAGACUAAAAGAAAAAGAAGGAACUCGGCAAAUACAAGCCUCGCCUGUUUACCAAAAACAUCGCCUCUUGAAAACUAAGUAUAAGAGGUCC